AACGGUCUAUACCUGCGGUACCUGCGGAAGGAUCAUUAACGAGUGUAACUUACCCUUUUUUUUAAAAGAGGGUAGUACCUCCUGUCCUUUGUAGGCCCCUUUUUAUUGGGGGGCUUUUUAAGACUUUCUGCUUCGGCGGGGUUAUUCCCGCCGGAACACCCUCAAAAAACUCUUCAAAAACUAAUUCAGUCCGAGAAUUUUUGAAAAUAAAAAAAACUUUCAGCAACGGAUCUCUAGAUC
rnacentral:misc_RNA from 1 species